rnacentral:rRNA from 1 species
GCGGCAGGCCUAACACAUGCAAGUCGAGGGGUAACAGAUAGAAAGCUUGCUUUCUAUGCUGACGACCGGCGCACGGGUGAGUAACGCGUAUGCAACCUACCUUUAACAUGAGGAUAGCCCCGAGAAAUCGGGAUUAAUACUCUAUAACAUUUUGAUAUCGCAUGGUAUUAAGAUUAAAGCUUCGGCGGUUAAAGAUGGGCAUGCGUGACAUUAGUUUGUUGGUGAGGUAACGGCUCACCAAGACAUCGAUGUCUAGGGGUUCUGAGAGGAUUGUCCCCCACACUGGUACUGAGACACGGACCAGACUCCUACGGGAGGCAGCAGUGAGGAAUAUUGGUCAAUGGUCGAAAGACUGAACCAGCCAUGCCGCGUGCAGGAUGAAUGCGCUAUGCGUUGUAAACUGCUUUUCUACAGGAAGAAACCUACCCUCGUGAGGGUAGUUGCCGGUACUGUAGGAAUAAGCACCGGCUAACUCCGUGCCAGCAGCCGCGGUAAUACGGAGGGUGCGAGCGUUAUCCGGAUUUAUUGGGUUUAAAGGGUGCGUAGGCGGAAUAUUAAGUCAGUGGUGAAAUCCUGCGGCUCAACCGUAGAACUGCCAUUGAUACUGAUAUUCUUGAAUGUAGUUGAGGUAGGCGGAAUGUGUAAUGUAGCGGUGAAAUGCUUAGAUAUUACACAGAACACCGAUUGCGAAGGCAGCUUGCUAAACUAUGAUUGACGCUGAUGCACGAAAGCGUGGGGAGCGAACAGGAUUAGAUACCCUGGUAGUCCACGCUGUAAACGAUGAUCACUCGUUGUUUGCG